GUUUUGAUAAAUCUCCCCCUAUGUUCCAACUAUAGGAGGCCUGUUUAGUUCCUAUAAUCACACCCAUGUGCCUUCUGGAACUGAAACACAAGUAGAUGUCCCCCCUAUAGUAAGGAACACCACCACCAGGCCUUCCAGUCUGCCAGCCAGUCACAGUAGCCUGCCAGCCAGAACAGCCAGCUUCAGCAAUUAAGGGUCCUGCAAAAUGACGCACAUCAGACGCCCAUCAGACGGAAACUUGAUAAUCUGGAAUGGAAUGUAAUCUGUGAAGGAGGCCCCAAUGUAGAUGUGAACCUAGCCUAAGCUGCUUGUGCCUGUUCAUAAUAUAAUUUUCUGUACUUCUAUAAUGAUAUAAUUGUAUAUGACAAACCAUUACAUACAGUAUGUACUGUCUGAACUGCUGUAUUUUAUACACUACUGUAUGUACAAUGUUCUCCGUGGCA